GGGCGCGCGCCGCUUACGUCGCAGCCUCGCCUCUCCCCUUCCAAGCGUCUCCACGCGACCCGGAAGUUGUACUUGUGACGCUGCUUUCCCUCUCCCACAAUACCUCGCGCUCUUCCUUUCCAACCAGAGCCCGGCGGAAUGGCUCCCGCGAAGAAGGGUGGCGAGAAGAAGAAGGGCCGUUCUGCCAUCAACGAGGUAGUGACCAGAGAAUACACCAUCAACAUUCACAAGCGCAUCCAUGGAGUGGGUUUCAAGAAGCGUGCCCCUCGGGCACUCAAAGAGAUCCGAAAAUUUGCCAUGAAGGAGAUGGGAACUCCAGAUGUGCGCAUUGACACCAGGCUCAACAAAGCUGUCUGGGCCAAAGGAAUAAGGAAUGUUCCAUACCGUAUCCGUGUGCGGUUGUCCAGAAAACGUAACGAGGAUGAAGAUUCACCAAACAAGCUCUACACACUGGUUACCUAUGUACCUGUCACCACUUUCAAAAAUCUGCAGACAGUUAAUGUGGAUGAGAACUAAUCGCUGAUUGUCAAAUAAAGGCCUGGGAACUCGUGUAGAACAGUGUGGAACGGGCUACCAGCACGGAAGGAAGGCCUUCUGCAGAGCACAGCGCUUGUGUGAGCUGUAGGGGCAGGCGAGACGAAGACGGAGCUGGCAGGUCUUCAGGAGGAAUGGAGACUUCUGGGAUAACAACGCGGAGCUUGAGGAAAGAACCAACAGCAAUGAAUUCUCUGCCUGCACCUGGGAGGAUCAAAGGGAACGGGGGGGCUCUUCUUGCUCGUGGGGGACACCAGGCGCAAGUCCUGUCUACCAGAGCAAUCUGUUCCUUUCUGAUGCCAGGAUCACGUUAUGGUAACUUUCUCAAGGUGUUUACCCUCAGCCUUGCCAAUUCACACAUCAGUGCCUGGGGACAAACGUGUGAGUUUAGUGGAAGUCAAACUCUAGCAAAGACGAGGCUGGGGCAGGAAGUUCCUCCCGAAGAACAACACUGCAGGCCUUCCGUGCCAGGCAUUUUCUAUAUCGUAUCUCGUUUAAUCCCAGAUGCUGGCUAUUAGUAGCCUCCUUUACAACUGGGGAAAUUGAGGCUCACGGGGCUUAAAUUGCUCACAAUCUGUCUGACUCUCAAACCCGUUUCUAUGCCAGGUCACCCUAAUUCAAUGCAGGGGGGUGGGGUGGCAUUCUUUUUCUUAAGUUUUCUUUAGUUUACUUUUAGUAAUCUUUACACCCAACGUGGGGCUCAAACUCGGGACCCCAAGGUUCAGGAGUCACAUGCCAGCCAGGUGCCCCAAAAGCUGGCAUUCUCAUGAGAUCCACAGGAACAGAGCCCAGGUUCGCGCCCAACUGCCAUUCUGACAACCCAUGACUCACUACGUUCUGCUUUGUGGUAUCUUCGUGGCCCUGGAGAACCCUGAUCCUGUGCCUACAGCGCAGGUGCUCGAGCUGCUCCACAGACUGGUCUCCAAAUUUCUGCAGAGAAACGAAUGUCCCUCAACACCCAUCUCUGACCAGGUUUCCCGGAGGAUGAGGGUGGGGACGGGGCCAGGCCCAGUUACCUCAUAGGAGUCCCGGAUCAGGUCGGCAAUGUCAGUCCCAGGGUAGGGCUCCUGGUCAUCGGACAAAAAGGCAUGGUGGCUGCCGACGGGGGGUCCAGGGCUGUCCUCAUUCUUAAUGUGAUCUAGAAACCUGAGCACACAACCCACCACUGAAGCACUGGUUUCCCCUCGCCUGCGAACCGCACCCCACCCGCUACCUUCCCAGGGGCCGGGGGAAAUGUCAGAGCACUUUCAGACUCAGAGCACUUUCAGACCCAGCUCAUCCGUCUCCAAACACUGGGAGGAGGGCAAGAUAACUACUGUGCUCCUUUAGAGGAAAGGAGACACGCCUAAAGCCAGACUUGUUCAUCUGGGCCCCAUGGGUAGGUUUGCAGAGACCUGGGACUCUGGUGAAGUCAACACAAAGUUCUGUGCAUACACGUGCCACCGUAAGCUUCCACAGUAUUCUGAAAGGGAAACUUUCAUCUGUCUUUCAACUUGCCCUCAGCUACAAGAGAGCCAGAUUCCAGUCCUCGGCCUCGUGGGACUUUUCUUGCACUGCAACACACCAAGCCCCUACACAUCAAACGUCCGAAACCUCCAGCUGGCUGCCUGAGACCACCAGUUCCCAGUGCCUGCCUGCCCCAUUCCAGGCCACUAUGAGUGUGUAUCUCCCCAGAGACAAGCGCGGAUGGCCCACUCUCCUCCUGUACCCUCACUUGCUGGAGAGGAGCCGGGAAGAUGGCGCUCUUCACCACAUGCAGGCAACAGUGCCACCUCACUGGCUGGCUGGGGGGGGGGGGACCACGGCGUGACAAGUGGCAGAGUGGAAGGAAAAAUUCCACAGUGACAGCCCUGCUGAGCACCCGCUGCUGCUUCCACCUGGUCUAUUUUGCAGAGCCCGUGAUAGCCCUCCUCAACCCGCCACCCCAACCCCGUGAGCCCACCUGCUGAGGACCAUGAGGGCCUGGCCAUCGUCCUUGCUGCUGCACAGGCCCUGGGCAUUGGCUUCCAGCACGGCCAGCCCCAGCUGGAAAAUGGCUUUGAUCCCAUCGUAGAAGAAGCAAUCCACAACGCUCACCGCACUCUCCAGAGGCAUAAUGCUGAGGAACAGAGUCAGGAACCAGGAGAGAGAGAUGGACGCGAGGGCGGAGAGGUCAUUCAUGUGCUCCGCCAGCUCGGGGAGGUGCUCCUUGAUGAGCUCCUCAAAGACCGACUGGUCUACCUGGGCCCCUGAAAAAGGCAGACCACGGAGACUUGGUUGGGGAAGGAGUCACACUUUCUAAAGUUAGCCUGAAACUGAAACUACUCUGAGAUGAGCAGAACAAUGAAACAGAAUUUGAGUCCAGAAAAGGACUCGUACUUAACUGGUUUUUGACACUGACUAGAGCAAUUCAGUGGGGAAAGGACAGUCUUUUCAAAAAAUAAUGCUCAGGGCGCCUGGGUGGCUCAGUUGGUUGAGCGACUGCCUUCAGCUCAGGUCAUGAUCCUGGAGUCCCUGGAUCGAGUCCCGCAUCGGGCUCCCCGCUCGGCGGGGAGUCUGCUUCUCCCUGUGACCUUCCCCCCUCUCAUGUGCUCUCACUCUCUCAAAUAAAUGAAUAAAUAAAAUCUUUAAAAAAAAAAAAAAAAAAAAAUAAUGCUCAAUCAAGUGCACACCUGUGUGGGAGCAGGGUGGGGACCUCAAGUCCUACUUCACAUCAUACAAGAAAAUACAUUUGAAAUGUGUCAUAGACCUCAAUAUAAAAGCUAAUACUAUAAAGCUUCUAAAGAAAAAUAUAGGAAAAAGGCAUCAUUUCUUAGGACACAAAAAGCACUAGCCACAGAAAAAAAUUAUAAAUUGGACUUCAUGAAAAUAAAAGACUGGUAUUCCUCAAAAAACAUUAGUAAAAAUAGGAAUGCAAACUUCACAUUAAGAAAAUAUUUAUAAUACAUAUACCUGACAAGGGUCUUGUAUUCAAAAUAAAACUCUUGCAACUUAGUGGUCAAUAACCCAUUUUUUCUUAAAUAGGCAAAAGAUGUGAGCAGACACUUCAAACGAGACAAUAAACAAAUGGCCAGGAAGCACAGAAAAAUAUGUUCAACAUCAUUCAUCGAAGAAAUGCAAAGUAAAACCUCCAUGAUAGAUCCCUUCUUCCCCGCUAGAAUGGCAAAACUUAAAAAGAACUCUGAAGGCUAACAGGGAUGUGGAGCAACCAGAACUCACACACUGCUGGUAGGAGAUCUGUGACCGCAGUGUAUCCGCUUUGAAAAACCAACAGUUUCUUAGUUGACCUAUGCCCUAUGGCCUAGCAAUUCUACUCCUAGGUAAACACUCAAGAAAACGGACAA